rnacentral:rRNA from 1 species
AUGAACGCUAGCUACAGGCUUAACACAUGCAAGUCGCGGGGAAACGACAUCGAAAGCUUGCUUUUGAUGGGCGUCGACCGGCGCACGGGUGAGUAACGCGUAUCCAACCUGCCCAUCACUUGGGAAUAACCUUGCGAAAGUAAGACUAAUACCCAAUGACAUCCCACGAAGACAUCUGAAUGGGAUUAAAGAUUUAUCGGUGAUGGAUGGGGAUGCGUCUGAUUAGCUUGUUGGCGGGGUAACGGCCCACCAAGGCAACGAUCAGUAGGGGUUCUGAGAGGAAGGUCCCCCACAUUGGAACUGAGACACGGUCCAAACUCCUACGGGAGGCAGCAGUGAGGAAUAUUGGUCAAUGGGCGAGAGCCUGAACCAGCCAAGUAGCGUGCAGGAUGACGGCCCUAUGGGUUGUAAACUGCUUUUAUAAGGGAAUAAAGUGGGUCUCGUGAGACUUUUUGCAUGUACCUUAUGAAUAAGGACCGGCUAAUUCCGUG